rnacentral:rRNA from 1 species
CACAGAGGUCUCAAGCGUUGUUCGGAUUCAUUGGGCGUAAAGGGUGCGUAGGCGGCGCGGUAAGUCGGGUGUGAAAUCUUCGGAGCUUAACUCCGAAACUGCAUUCGAUACUGCCGUGCUUGAGGACUGGAGAGGAGACUGGAAUUUACGGUGUAGCGGUGAAAUGCGUAGAUAUCGUAAGGAAGACCAGUGGCGAAGGCGGGUCUCUGGACAGUUCCUGACGC